CUCUGUACUCCUACGGGGAGGCAGCAGUGGGGAAUAUUGCACAAUGGGGGAAACCCUGAUGCAGCCAUGCCGCGUGUGUGAAGAAGGCCUUCGGGUUGUAAAGCACUUUCAGUAGGGAGGAAGGUAGUGUAGUUAACACCUGCAUUAUUUGACGUUACCUACAGAAGAAGCACCGGCUAACUCCGUGCCAGCAGCCGCGGUAAUACGGAGGGUGCGAGCGUUAAUCGGAAUUACUGGGCGUAAAGCGCAUGCAGGCGGCCUGUUAAGUCAGAUGUGAAAGCCCGGGGCUUAACCUCGGAAUUGCAUUUGAAACUGGCAGGCUAGAGUCUUGUAGAGGGGGGUAGGAAUUUCAGGUGUAGCGGUGAAAUGCGUAGAGAUCUGAAGGAAUACCAGUGGCGAAGGCGGCCCCCUGGACAAAGACUGACGCUCAGAUGCGAAAGCGUGGGGAGCAAACAGGAUUAGAUACCCUGGGAG
rnacentral:rRNA from 1 species